UACGAAGGGGGCUAGCGUUGUUCGGAAUUACUGGGCGUAAAGCGCGCGCAGGCGGUCUUUCAAGUCAGUGGUGAAAGCCUGGAGCUCAACUCCAGAACUGCCGUUGAAACUGCAAGACUUGAGUACGAGAGAGGUGAGUGGAAUUCCCAGUGUAGAGGUGAAAUUCGUAGAUAUUGGGAAGAACACCGGUGGCGAAGGCGGCUCACUGGCUCGUAACUGACGCUCAGGCGCGACAGCGUGGGGAUCAAACAGG
rnacentral:rRNA from 1 species